UACGGGGGGGGCAAGCGUUGUUCGGAAUUACUGGGCGUAAAGGGCGCGUAGGCGGCCUACUAAGUCGGACGUGAAAUCCCUCGGCUCAACCGAGGAACUGCGUCCGAUACUGGCAGGCUGGAAUCCGGGAGAGGGAUGUGGAAUUCCAGGUGUAGCGGUGAAAUGCGCAGAUAUCGGGAGGAACACCUAUGGCGAAGGCAGCUCGCUGGGACGUUACUGACGCUGGAGACGCGAAAGCGUGGGGGAGCAAAACAGG
rnacentral:rRNA from 1 species